UUUUUAGUUAUUUUUGCUAUUUUAUAUGUUAAUCUUUUUUAUACUGGCUAAAAUUUUCAUUGAUUAAUUAUUUAUUUAUUUUUUUAUUUUCUGUGAUUUUUCAUCAUUUUUUUUCUGAUUAUCAAUAGAAAAUAAAAAUGAAAAAAAUUGUGAAAAUUACUUAAACUUUGGGGGAAAUAAAAUUUAUUGAUAUCAAAAACUCUGAAAUGAAUAAAAAAAAAUUAUAUUAUUAUAUAUUUUUCUCAAUAUUUAGUUCUUUUUAACUAUCAUAAAUAUUAAAAAAAUUUAGUCCUUAAUAAUUGUGUAAUUAAUUGUCUUCUCUAAUAAUUAAUUCGUCAUAACCGUUCUUUAGUGUAAUUUAUUUUAAAAAAAUGAUCCACAUAAUUUUAAUUAUUAUCUUCUUUCUUCUAUUAGUAUUUUCCCCAUCUUUUAACAUCACCAACGAAACAUAAAAAAACCAAAGGUCACUCCCUCUUCUCCCCCCACACGCAAUAAAAAAAAGAACGUCACAAACAAGAGCUAACGCAGUGACCGUCCAUCCUCUCUCUGUGGCGUCUCACCUCACUCAACCCAGAAACCCACCACCCAACUUUUUCAGGGUUAAACCCCAUAUCUUCCUACAACAUACGAAGUUGUCGUCAUCUGCAAUGGUCCCGGUGCCUCCAAUUCGUUCAACAGACAAAUCUCUGGCAGUUUUUCGGCGGAUAGUCCUCUUGCUUGGGCUCUUGAGAGAUCGAGGUUAUAUACUUCGUCCAAUUAACAAGUGACGUGAUGAUGAGAUAGCUAAAACAGGUUUUUUACGCACUAUGUUCCUACGAUGAGUCUUGUUGCAUGUAGAACUGAUCGCAAAAAGUCGAGAUUAUAUUGUUUUUGUUUUCUAUUAAGGAUUUCUUGUUAUAUAUGUUGUAAACAUACUGAAUUGAGUUGAUUUAGGCAUUUCUUUGGCAUAAGAGAGCAUUGGCGAAAUGAUAAGGAAUCAAGAAUUAUGUUUCACACAUACAAAGGACGGGUACAUAUUUAGAUUAAUAUAUAAUUUGUGCUUUUUUUUAAUAGUCAUGUGAUCAAUAGAUAAAUCAUAUAUAACUGAAUUAAUAAAAUUUAUGAUAAAAAAUUAAAUGCAUGUGAUAAGACUCUUUUUGUUUUUAGGAUGAGGUUUUGGUUCUAGAGAUAAUAAUUGCUAGAUAUGGUGCCGAGCUGAAACAUGAAAUUAUCCUAAUUGAUCUCUGUGACAAUUGUAUCAAGCUUAAAUUAAAAAAUUGGGGAAACAAAAUCUGGAUACCUUCGGAUGAGAUAGACAAGUUAUUUGCUUUCUAUAAGUUCAAAAGCAUAGUCAAGAUCGGUUUAAUGUAUGUCACAAGUGGCAUAUUUUUUGUGGCUCCUGUGGAUAGGCGAAAUAAUCCAAUUUAUAUGGAUUUUUAUGCAUCUCACUAUGUUAAAGAUAUUAUUGGUAUAUCUUUGUUAAAAGUAAUCCAAGAUAAGUUGGGGGUUGAACUACUUUGAUGGAUUGGAUGAUGUUGCAUAUGGUAUAGAAGAUAAUGGGAUCCAUGGGAAUAUGAAAAUGUUAGAGUUUAUAGUUUUCUUUUUUUUUAUUCUUAAUUAUUGUUAGUUUUAUACAUCUUAUAUUUUUUAUUAACAUAUUUAUUUCAAUAUAUAUCUAUAAUUCAUUAUGUAAUAAAAUGUUAUUAUUUGAUUCUUCUAUUCUCUAUCUGUUUUUUUAUUAUUUUUUAAUUUGUUCUUUUUUUGUUAAUUAUACUUGAAGUUCUGGUGUGCAAAGGAUUGGGAAGAACAAUUCCAAUGAAA